UGUUGGUUAAGGUCUUGUAAGUCAGCAUUUCACUGUGAGGUCUGCACUGUUGGUUAAGGGCUUGUAAGUAAGCAUUUCACUGUGAGGUCUACACUGUUGGUUAAGGGCUUGUAAGUCAGCAUUUCACUGUGAGGUCUACACUGUUGGUUAAGGUCUUGUAAGUCAGCAUUUCACUGUGAGGUCUACACUGUUGGUUAAGGUCUUGUAAGUCAGCAUUUCACUGUGAGGUCUGCACUGUUGGUUAAGGUCUUGUAAGUCAGCAUUUCACUGUGAGGUCUGCACUGUUGGUUUCAGGGCUUGUAAGUAAGCGCAUGUGACCAUUUAAGUUUGAUUUGAUCCUGACUUAAAUUCACCAGAUAUUCAUCCAGAUGUAUGUCUGGUGAGGAUAGGGGAGGGGGCACCCUCUAAGCUAGUUGACGUGGGGAGGCUGAAUGACAGCUUUCCUGUUCGCACCGGAGACCCGUCUGGUAUGGUGGAACGUUCUUUUAAAAACACACCCAGGCAUCCUCAGCUGACCUCUAAAGUCCAAUGUUUUCCCUCACU